rnacentral:rRNA from 1 species
UACGUAGGGGGCAAGCGUUGUCCGGAAUUAUUGGGCGUAAAGGGUAGGUAGGUGGUCUCAUUUGUCUGGGGUGAAAGCCUUGAGCUUAACUCAAGAAGUGCCCCGGAAACGGUGAGACUGGAGUCUUGGAGAGGGUCGUGGAAUUCCCGGUGUAGCGGUGAAAUGCGUAGAGAUCGGGAGGAACACCAGAGGCGAAGGCGGCGACCUGGACAAGUACUGACACUCAACUACGAAAGCGUGGGGAGCAAACAGG